CCUACGGGUGGCAGCAGGGAGGAAUAUUGGUCAAUGGACGAGAGUCUGAACCAGCCAAGUAGCGUGAAGGAUGACUGCCCUAUGGGUUGUAAACUUCUUUUAUAUGGGAAUAAAACGUUCCACGUGUGGGAUUUUGUAUGUACCAUAUGAAUAAGGAUCGGCGAACUCCGUGCCAGCAGCCGCGGUAAUACGGAGGAUCCGAGCGUUAUCCGGAUUUAUUGGGUUUAAAGGGAGCGUAGGUGGAUUGUUAAGUCAGUUGUGAAAGUUUGCGGCUCAACCGUAAAAUUGCAGUUGAAACUGGCAGUCUUGAGUACAGUAGAGGUGGGCGGAAUUCGUGGUGUAGCGGUGAAAUGCUUAGAUAUCACGAAGAACUCCGAUUGCGAAGGCAGUUCACUGGACUGCAACUGACACUGAGGCUCGAAAGUGUGGGUAUCAAACAGGAUUAGAUACCCCGGUAGUC
rnacentral:rRNA from 1 species